UACGUAGGGUGCGAGCGUUAAUCGGAAUUACUGGGCGUAAAGCGUGCGUAGGCGGUUUCAUAAGCUUGAUGUGAAAGCCCCGGGCUCAACCUGGGAAUGGCAUUGAGGACUGUGGAGCUAGAGUGCGGCAGAGGGAGGUGGAAUUCCACGUGUAGCAGUGAAAUGCGUAGAGAUGUGGAGGAACACCGAUGGCGAAGGCAGCUCGCUGGGACGGUACUGACGCUGAGGCGCGAAAGCGUGGGGAGCGAACAGG
rnacentral:rRNA from 1 species